UUUGAUUAAAUAUUCAAGCAUGUAUAUUUUAAAAUAAAAGGCAAUGAUCAAACUAAAAAAAAAAGGUUAGACCACAAAAAACGUAAAUGGGCUGCGCUGCAAAUAACUGUGGCCCAAUACCUUCAGAAAAGUGAUUUGUAAAACAAACCCUAAAUUGAAACAAGGCAAAGGCAAAAACCAGAGCGGCGGCUAGGCAAUGAGGGUCGCAGAUCAAAAGAGAAAAAACAGAGCCAUGCGAACUUCACCAUCAAGACCGUAAAUAAGAACGGCGUUGGAGUGAGGCCGCUGGAUUAGGUCGUUGAGGAAAAAGGGGAGUCAGACGAACGGAGUGACCAGGAAACACGGUCAGCAUUCCGACGACGGCGUUCAAGAUAAUAGUCAAGCAGAUAAAAGGAUGUAGAAUAGAAGAUGAAGGUGAAGUUGAGUGUUGGCAGGGUGGAAUGGAUUGGUGUAUUGGGUACUGAUGUGUUGCCAUGCCAAAUCAAAAACAUUGUUUUUAUUGUAAUUCAAUUCUUUUAUUUUAUGUAAAAUAAAGAUGUUUAGUAUUGUAAAAUAUAUUAUUAUUGUUA